rnacentral:rRNA from 1 species
AUUGAACGCUGGCGGCAGGCCUAACACAUGCAAGUCGAACGGUAACAGGAAGAUGCUUGCUUCUUUGCUGACGAGUGGCGGACGGGUGAGUUAUGUCUGGGAAACUGCCUGAUGGAGGGGGUUAACUACUGGAAACGGUAGCUAAUACCGCAUAAUGUCGCAAGACCAAAGAGGGGGACCUUCGGGCCUCUUGCCAUCGGCUGUGCCCAGAUGGGAUUAGCUAGUAGGUGGGGUAACGGCUCACCUAGGCGACGAUCCCUAGCUGGUCUGAGAGGAUGACCAGCCACACUGGAACUGAGACACGGUCCAGACUCCUACGGGAGGCAGCAGUGGGGAAUAUUGCACAAUGGGCGAAAGCCUGAUGCAGCGAUGCCGCGUGUAUGAAGAAGGCCUUCGGGUUGUAAAGUACUUUCAGCGGGGAGGAAGGGAGUAAAGUUAAUACCUUGGCUCAUUGACGUUACCCGCAGAAGAAGCACCGGCUAACUCCGUG